GAAGAAAAAGCUAUCAUUUUUCUCUUCCCCUUCACCGAAAUAUGCAGCAAAGAAAGGGUUUUGAAGCUGGAAAAUUUCAGCAACAUAUUUCCCUUGCUUAUGAUGAAAAUAGAGACUUGGACAUAGAACGGAAAGAAAUCGAUUUAUGGACGAGUAUGUCCUUUUCACCUUUGUGGUAUCGAGAGUUUCCAGGUUAGCUCGGGUUGGAGGCCGUCAGAGAUAUUAUCACCCUAUCGAGUUAACUAUAUCGGAGUAAGUAAACUCAAGUGAUUCGAGUCUAUGGCAUGUAUAGGGUUUUAAUGUGAGUAUGUAAUAUUAUGAUUUAGCCAAAGGCAUUGGCUUGUUAUUAAGGUAGUAUUAGUCAUGUAAAUUGGCCUAUGUCGGCUAAUGACGUUAUGGGCCCAUAUGAUUAUUCUUAUGCAUGUAUGUUAUUAUCUCUUGUGAUGUGGCUUACAACAUGUAUGCCUAGAGAUUGAAUUGAGAUUCAUUGAUGAGCUAGUAACUAAUGCAGGAUUAAGUGAUUGGUAAAUAGUUAAUAA